CCUACGGGGGGCAGUAGUGAGGAAUAUUGGUCAAUGGGCGGAAGCCUGAACCAGCCAAGUCGCGUGAGGGAAUAAGGCCCUACGGGUCGUAAACCUCUUUUGCCGGGGAGCAAGGGCCGGGACGCGUCCCGGCCCGGAGAGUACCCGGAGAAAAAGCAUCGGCCAACUCCGUGCCAGCAGCCGCGGUAAUACGGAGGAUGCGAGCGUUAUCCGGAUUUAUUGGGUUUAAAGGGUGCGUAGGCGGGCUUUUAAGUCAGCGGUAAAAAUUCGGGGCUCAACCCCGUCCGGCCGUUGAAACUGGGGGC
rnacentral:rRNA from 1 species